AUUGAACGCUGGCGGCAGGCUUAACACAUGCAAGUCGAACGGUAGCAGGAGAAAGGUUGCUUUCUUGCUGACGAGUGGCGGACGGGUGAGUAAUGCUUGGGAAUCUGGCUUAUGGAGGGGGAUAACGACGGGAAACUGUCGCUAAUACCGCGUAUUAUCGGAAGAUGAAAGUGCGGGACUGAGAGGCCGCAUGCCAUAGGAUGAGCCCAAGUGGGAUUAGGUAGUUGGUGGGGUAAAUGCCUACCAAGCCUGCGAUCUCUAGCUGGUCUGAGAGGAUGACCAGCCACACUGGAACUGAGACACGGUCCAGACUCCUACGGGAGGCAGCAGUGGGGAAUAUUGCGCAAUGGGGGGAACCCUGACGCAGCCAUGCCGCGUGAAUGAAGAAGGCCUUAGGGUUGUAAAGUUCUUUCGGUAUUGAGGAAGGUUGAUGUGUUAAUAGCACAUCAAAUUGACGUUAAAUACAGAAGAAGCACCGGCUAACUCCGUGCCAGCAGCCGCGGUAAUACGGAGGGUGCGAGCGUUAAUCGGAAUAACUGGGCGUAAAGGGCACGCAGGCGGUUAUUUAAGUGAGGUGUGAAAGCCCCGGGCUUAACCUGGGAAUUGCAUUUCAGACUGGGUAACUAGAGUACUUUAGGGAGGGGUAGAAUUCCACGUGUAGCGGUGAAAUGCGUAGAGAUGUGGAGGAAUACCGAAGGCGAAGGCAGCCCCUUGGGAAUGUACUGACGCUCAUGUGCGAAAGCGUGGGGAGCAAACAGG
rnacentral:rRNA from 1 species